rnacentral:rRNA from 1 species
UCACGAAGUAGUUUUGAGCUAACUAUAGUAUAAUAUUAGUCAUUCUAUUUAGGGUGUGGUAUAAUCUUAAUACAAAUUAUAGUUAGGGGUGAUAGGCUUUUCAAAUACUAAGAUAUCUUGAAGCUAAUUAAAAGUAUAUAGUACAAUUAAUACAUCUAGAAAGUGUUUAGGCUUUCUAGAAUUAUAAAGCUAUACUAUUUUAAUUACUAUUAUAUAAGAAUUAAGUACAUUGGCCUUUUAAUAUUGAUUUAUUAAAGAUUAUAGAUGAAUAAUUAGUAAAGAUUCCAAAUACGGUAAAUUUGUUAUAAUGUUAAUAUUAGUAUUAAAUAUAAGUUUAUUCAAUGAACUCGGCAACAACGCUUUUCAACUGUUUAUCAAAAACAUAACUAUAUGAAAUUUCUAUAUAGCAAUUUCUGCUCAAUGAUUAUUUAAAUAGCCGCAGUAUACUGACUGUGCAAAGGUAGCAUAAUCAAUUGACUUAUAAUUGAAGUCUAGAAUGAAGGAAAGGGAUGGGAAGCUACUAUAUAAGAUAAAUAAAAAUAAUUUACUUUUGAAGUGAAAAUACUUCUAUGAAAAUAAUAGACGAGAAGACCCUAGAAGAUUUUAGAAGUAAAGAAUAAUAGCUUUGAAAUUUUUUGUUGGGGCGACAGAGUAACAUUUAAACCUACUUAUUUCUAUUUGAACAUUAUAUUUUGAUUGGAAUAAUUUACUCUAGGGAUAACAGCAUAAUUUUAUAAAGUUUGUGACCUCGAUGUUGGAUUAGGAAAUAAUAACUUAAAAGGUGUUUUAUAUUGCUCUGUUCGAGCAUAAACUCCUACAUGAUC